GACAGAGGUGCCGAGCGUUAGGCGGAAUCACUGGGCUUAAAGCGUAUGUAGGCGGCCUGUUAAGUCAGUUGUGAAAUCCCACGGCUCAACCGUGGAAUUGCAAUUGAAACUGGCGGGCUUGAGUGCAGGAGAGGUUGGUAGAAUACCUGGUGUAGUGGUGAAAUACGUAGAUAUCAGGUGGAAUACCGGUGGCGAAGGCGGCCAACUGGCCUAGCACUGACGCUGAGAUACGAAAGCGUGGGGAUCAAACAGG
rnacentral:rRNA from 1 species